rnacentral:lncRNA from 1 species
UUUUUUUUUUUUUUUAAAGUAGAUGUUCCUUAGCAAGUACUCAUCAACCUACUCUACAGAAGUAUUUUUCAAAGUGCAUUUUGAAGACCACUUGUAUUAAAACUACGAAAAUCUAUGCAUUUCAAUGCCUCUUUCAGAAGUAGUGAACAAGAAUCCUCAAGAAUUGAUGGCUAUAUUUUGUAUUAUUACAUUGGUUAUUGUACUUAUUAAUCCUUUAAUACACCAUUUGCCCUAAUGGUGUCAAAGCUUCCACUAUUAUUUUUGCUUUACUCAUUAUAGCACUUGCCAUAUUCUAUUGAAAUACUUAAAAAUACAGUGGAAUUUCAUGGAGAACAGGAAAUGGGUCCUUUUCUCUAUGUCCCCAGCUAUUAGCACAAUACUUAGCACAUUGCAUAUAUUAACAUAUAUGUAUGAAAUAAAGGAAUGGCCCAAUAAAAUCAAAAGGUAGCUCAAUGACUUUGCCUCCAAAGUUCUAUUUUAAACCACCUUGAUGUUCACUGAUUUCUCUAGUUGCUGUUGCCUCAUAUCCAUAUCUCUCUUGGAUUCCUUUCCCUGAAUGAUAAGUCACUGUUUAAAAAUUCAAGAAGCAGGGAUCCCUGGGUGGCGCAGCGGUUUGGCGCCUGCCUUUGGCCCGGGGCGCGAUCCUGGAGACCCGGGAUCGAAUCGCACGUCGGGUUCCCGGUGCAUGGAGCCUGCUUCUCCCUCUGCCUGUGUCUCUGCCUCUCUCUCUCUCUCUGUGACUAUCAUAAAUAAAUAAAAAUUAAAAAAAAAAUAAAUAAAAAUUCAAGAAGCAGCCCAUGGACCAAGUCAAAACCAUCUCUGUAUCUGAUAUCUAUCUUAUGUUUAUUAGCAAGAAAAUAAAGGAUGAAGUAUAAUUAUCUUCAUUUGAAGAUGGCGUUAUCGUCUUAGGUAGAAAAUCCCAAGAAAUCUACAAAAUACUCCCAGAACUAAAAGGUAAGUUCAAAAUAGUCACAUGAUAAAUACACCAAAAUCAACUGUAUUUUUAUGUACUAGCAUUGAACAUAUGGACACUAAAAUUAGAGAUAGAAUACCACUGAUAAUAGAGGAAGCUAUAUGAAUAUGUAAAGACAGUAGAUUUAAAGAAAAUCUUCCACUCAAUUUUGUUGUGAACUUAAAUUUCUCUAAAAAGAAAAGAAGAAAAUUAUAUUUUUAAUAAUAAGAAAAAUACCACUUAUAAUUGCUCAAAAAAAGAAAUAUUUAGGUCUUAGUGUGAAAGGUUAUGAACAGAAUUUAUGCAAUGAUAACCAAACAACACUACUGAAAGAAAUAAAAGCAUAUCUCAAAAAUGGAGAGACCUGCUAUUUUUAUGGCUUGACUGGAUCAACAUAGUAAAGAUUUUGAUUCUCUCAUGUUGAUAAACAGGUUUAAUGCAAUUCUUAUCAAGAUCUCAGAAAUAUUUACAUACAUAUAUAGGCAAUAUUAUUCUAAAAUUUAGAUGGUAAAGCAAGAGUCAGAAUGCCUAAAACAAUUUUGAAAAAGAAUAAUUAAGUUGGCAAAAUCAGUUCACUGAUCUCAAGUUUUAAUAUUCAGCUACAGUAAUCAAGCUGUGGUAUUGGCAGAGGGAUAGAUAUAUAAAUUGAUAGAACAGAACAUAAUUCAUACAGACAUAUCCAACUGGUUUUUGACAUAGUUGCACAAACAAUGCAGUGAAGGGAUGAUUACUUUUCAAUGGUGCUAGAGCAAUUGUGCACAUAUUGGACAAAAAAAAUGAUUGGGAACUUAAAUGUGAAAUAUAAAACUAAAACUUUUAGAAAAAUAAAAUAUAGGUGAAAAUAUUUGGGAUCUAGGGUUCAGAAAAAAUUUGUCAGAUUUGAUAUCCAAAGGAUAAACCAUAAAAAUAAAUUUUGAUAAAUUGGACUUCACUCAAAUUAAAAACUUUUGUUUCCUGAUAUUACCUAUUAAGAGGAUGAAAAGACAAAUUCAGAACCAAAGGAAAUACUUGCAAACCACAUAUCUGACUAUAUGAUAUCUAAAUAUUGUACCUAAAAUAUGUAAAAAAACCUCAAGAUUCAGCAGUAAAACACAAAUAAACAAUCAAAGUAGAAUAUAAGCCAAAGAUAUGAAGAGACAUUUUAUAGGUUAUAUACACAUUGUAAAGAAAUACAUGAAAAGAUGCUCAAUAUCAUUAGCAAUUAAAGAAAUGCAAAUUAAAUUACUACAUACCUAUCAAAAUAGCUAAAAUAGAAAUUAAUGACAGAAUCAAACACCAGUGAAAAUACAAGAAAAUUGGUCGUUCAUAUGUUGUUGCUGGGAAUAUAAAAAGAUAUGGUCAUUCUAGAAAUUGGGGUGGCAGUUUCUUUAGGAACUAGACAUGUAACUACCAUAUAACCCAGCAAUUGAAUUCUUAGGCAUUCACUCUGAAAAUAAAGACCUAUAGUUACCAAAAAAAGUAAAGAAAAGAAACAAAAGCAACUUGUACAUGAAUAUUUAUAUCAGCUUUAUUCAUAGCAGUUUAGCCAGAUUUCUAUAAAUGAGUGAAUAAACUCUGGCCCAACUAUAACAUGGAGUACUACUCAGCAACAGGAAUGAAUAUUGAUGCAUGGACAACUUUCCUGAACCUCCAGGGAGUUAAGUACCAACUGAAAAAAAAAAAAAAAAAAAAAAAAGAAAAGCCAAAUUCAAGUGGAUACAUUCUGUAUUAUUCAAUACAGCUAUGUAUUGAAAUUAUGACAAAAUUAUAGAAAUAAAAAGUGAUUAAUGGUUGUCAGGCAUUAAAAGCGGAGUGGAGAUAGAAGGGAAGUGGCUUUAGCUCUGAGAAGCAACAGGAGAGAUCCUGGAGGUGAUGGGAAAUGUUCAGUAUCUUCACUGGAUCAAUGUCAACAUUCUGGCUGUUGUGAAUACUAUCCUAUAGUUUUGCUAGAUGUUACCACUUGGUAAACAGUACAAGGGAUCUCUGUAUUUUUGUGUAAUCCAUGUGAAUCUAAAAUUUUCUCAAAAUAAAAUUUUUAAUGUUAAAAGUUGCAUCAGAAAUCUAGAACUAAAAAAAGGGGGGACUUUCGAGUCUUCCAGAAAGUAGUUCCCUAUAAAAGCUGACACAGUUGAAGGGACCCCAACUGAACUCAGACUUUGACAAUACUUCCAGCAGAGACUGGUAAGAAUUUUUUUUUUAAAUACGAGGGGACUUUUAAAUAGAGCAAGCAAAAUCCUAUCCCAAAGAGUAGAAAGUGAAAAAUAAAAUAAGAGCUUUAUGCACAAGUUUUUUUCCUGGCAAAGAGAGCAGUACAGCAAGGGCUGAGUUCACAGGCUUUUAAACAACCCAUCAUGCUCUGUUUAAAUGAUUCACUAAUAAAAGACUAUUUCUUUAUCUCUGAAAUGAGAUAUUAUCAGCUGCUUAGCCUCAGUCAAAUAUUAAAUGUUUUGGUGCAUAUCAAUGGCCCACUAUGGUAGCAAAUUCACAAUAAUCAUUUAGUAAAUGUUAGAUCUCAACCACCAUCACUUCUGCAAACUCCAAAUAGUAAAUCAAGGUAUCAGAAUGUCAGGGACUAGGACACCUGGGUGGCUCUGCCUUCUGCUCAGGGCGUGAUCCCCAGGAGGGGGUUCCUGGAUUGGAUUGGAUAGAGUGGUCAGGCUCCCUACAGGGAACCUGCUUCUCCCUCUGCCUACGUCUCUGUGUCUCUCAUGAAUAAAUAAAUAAAAUCUAAAAAAAAAAAAAAAAAAA